GAUGAACGCUGGCGGCGUGCCUAAUACAUGCAAGUCGAGCGAAUGGAUUAAGAGCUUGCCCUUAUGAAGUUAGCGGCGGACGGGUGAGUAACACGUGGGUAACCUGCCCAUAAGACUGGGAUAACUCCGGGAAACCGGGGCUAAUACCGGAUAACAUUUUGAACCGCAUGGUUCGAGAUUGAAAGGCGGCUUCGGCUGUCACUUAUGGAUGGACCCGCGUCGCAUUAGCUAGUUGGUGAGGUAACGGCUCACCAAGGCAACGAUGCGUAGCCGACCUGAGAGGGUGAUCGGCCACACUGGGACUGAGACACGGCCCAGACUCCUACGGGAGGCAGCAGUAGGGAAUCUUCCGCAAUGGACGAAAGUCUGACGGAGCAACGCCGCGUGAGUGAUGAAGGCUUUCGGGUCGUAAAACUCUGUUGUUAGGGAAGAACAAGUGCUAGUUGAAUAAGCUGACACCUUGACGGUACCUAACCAGAAAGCCACGGCUAACUACGUGCCAGCAGCCGCGGUAA
rnacentral:rRNA from 1 species